ACAAACUUGGUCAUUUAGAGGAAGUAAAAGUCGUAACAAGGUUUCCGUAGGUGAACCUGCGGAAGGAUCAUUAGCGAAGCUCGGUUCGUCUUGUUCAGCUCUGAUGCUGCCCCGAGAGGGGAUGUGCUCGUCUGGCUUGGCGUCCCUUCACUAUUCCACCCCACUGUGAACCAAGCGUGCGGAAUGAAGGAGAGAUCCGGAAGCCCGCAUGCAUACAUACAACAUACCCCAUUGUAGUCUCAGAAUGUACCUUGCGUUAACUCGCACAAAUAUAACUUUCAACAACGGAUCUCUUGGCUCUCGCAUCGAUGAAGAACGCAGC
rnacentral:misc_RNA from 1 species